rnacentral:rRNA from 1 species
UUGAAGAGUUUGAUCAUGGCUCAGAUUGAACGCUGGCGGCAGGCCUAACACAUGCAAGUCGAACGGAAACGAUGGAAGCUUGCUUCCAGGCGUCGAGUGGCGGACGGGUGAGUAAUACUUAGGAAUCUGCCCAGUAGUGGGGGACAACUCGGGGAAACUCGAGCUAAUACCGCAUACGCACUACGGUGGAAAGUGGGGGAUCUUCGGACCUCACGCUAUUGGAUGAGCCUAAGUCGGAUUAGCUUGUUGGUGGGGUAAAGGCCUACCAAGGCGACGAUCCGUAGCUGGUCUGAGAGGACGAUCAGCCACACUGGGACUGAG